UAAGCAAGAUCUUAAUGUGUCAUUGAAGUUGUAAGCUCCUAAUGUUUUUUUCUUUUGAAAGCAUUUAUUUGUACAAUUGCAUCAUUUUUAUUUUACUAAUAUUUAUGAUACAUUUUAGUUUUUGUAAUUUUAUUUUGUCUGAGAAGGUUACACUAAAUCUUUAGCAAAUCAGAUCACAAUCUACUUUUACAACACACUUUCUUGAUUCCAGUUACAUUUUUUUCUUCAGUGUUAUAAUGUUUUCAAUAGUACCCUUUGAUAACCACUUCAGAUAAAAAUAGCUGUAUAUAUGCAUGUCCUAUUUAUACCCCAACCUUCAUUGCUAUCUUUUAACCUGUGACACUUACCCUAAGUAUAUAAAAUUAAUCGUAAAAUUUGUUGGGAAAAUACUAUAAGUUUUCUUUCUAUUUUUUAUUACUUUAUACUGGUACUACUUUGCCAUUUCACAUCAGCAUUUAGAUUGAAAGCAACUUUUCAAGUAUACUUUUAAAAACUACACUCAUAAUAUUUUUUUUCUUUAAAAUGAUACAUUUUUAUAAAAAACAAAAUUUUUUUCUUUCAUGUGCAUAAUAUUUUUCUUUCAUCUUAUUUUGUUAGAUGAUAAAAAAGUUUUUUCCAUAUUUAAUUUUUAUAAUAAAUAUUAUAUUUUGUUCUCCAAUUUUUUUAAAUUGCUAUUUUAAAUUUCAUUGAAAUUACCUAGUGAAGAUGGGUACAUUUAAACCUUGUAAAAAUAUCAACCACAUUUUUAGUGGAUGGGUUCUGUUUUAAUGAAUUAUCAUUCAGUUCUCCCUUUCAACACACAUGCCUACAACAUGCUGUAUAGUCCAGUCCCUAUUUGGACCUUUGGGGAAGAGGGCAUCUGGGAGAAGGUGUAACAUAUUGGUAUUAUAUGUACAUUUGCACACUAGCGCGUCAGUGCAACACCGCUUGUGUUUACGUAAUAAAUGGAGUUCCUAAAAUGUCUUCCCUCUUAAACACUAGUUUGUUAUUUGUGUAAUACGAAUAUUCU